rnacentral:rRNA from 1 species
AGAGUUUGAUCCUGGCUCAGAUUGAACGCUGGCGGCGUGCUUAACACAUGCAAGUCGAGCGGUAGCAGGCGUAGCAAUACGUGCUGACGAGCGGCGAACGGGUGAGUAAUGCUUUGGAAUCUACCUUUUAGUGGGGAAUAACCUGGGGAAACUCAGGCUAAUACCGCAUACGACCUACGGGUGAAAGCGGGGGAUCGCAAGACCUCGCGCUAAAAGAUGAGCCAAAGUCGGAUUAGCUAGUUGGUGAGGUAAUGGCUCACCAAGGCGACGAUCCGUAGCUGGUCUGAGAGGACGACCAGCCACACUGGAACUGAGACACGGUCCAGACUCCUACGGGAGGCAGCAGUGGGGAAUAUUGGACAAUGGGGGAAACCCUGAUCCAGCGACGCCGCGUGUGUGAAGAAGGCCUGCGGGUUGUAAAGCACUUUCAAUGGGGAGGAAAACCUGCCGGUCAAUACCCGGUAGCUUGACAUUACCUUUAGAAGAAGCACCGGCUAACUCCGUGCCAGCAGCCGCGGUAAUACGGAGGGUGCGAGCGUUAAUCGGAAUUACUGGGCGUAAAGCGUGCGUAGGCGGUUAACUAAGUCAGAUGUGAAAGCCCCGGGCUUAACCUGGGAACUGCAUUUGAUACUGGUUAACUAGAGUUGAGUAGAGGGGAGUGGAAUUUCAGGUGUAGCGGUGAAAUGCGUAGAUAUCUGAAGGAACACCAGUGGCGAAGGCGACUCCCUGGACUCAAACUGACGCUGAGGUACGAAAGCGUGGGUAGCAAACAGGAUUAGAUACCCUGGUAGUC